rnacentral:tRNA from 1 species
GGGGUAGUAGGGUAGCCUGGUCCAUCCUCGGACGUUCGGGACGUUCGGACUGCGGUUCAAAUCCGCGCUACCCCA